rnacentral:rRNA from 1 species
GACGAACGCUGGCGGCGUGCCUAAUACAUGCAAGUCGAACGCAGUGGGGAUGGUUGAUUAACACGUGGGUAACCUCGCAUCAGAGGGGAUAACACUUGGCAACAGGUGCUAAACCGAUAUUGAUGUAUGGACCCGCGGUGCAUUAGCUAGUUGGUGAGGUAACGGCUCACCAAGGCCACGAUGCAUAGCCGAUCUGAGAGGGUGAUCGGCCACACUGGAACUGAGACACGGUCCAGACUCCUACGGGAGGCAGCAGUAGGGAAUCUUCGGCAAUGGGCGAAAGUCUGACCGAGCAACGCCGCGUGAGUGAAGAAGGUUUUCGGAUCGUAAAACUCUGUUGUUAGAGAAGCGGUAUCUAACCAGAAAGCCACGGCUAACUACGUGCCAGCAGCCGCGGUAAUAC